CCUACGGGAGGCAGCAGUGAGGAAUAUUGGUCAAUGGACGAGAGUCUGAACCAGCCAAGUAGCGUGAAGGAUGACUGCCCUAUGGGUUGUAAACUUCUUUUAUAUGGGAAUAAAAUGUUCCACGUGUGGGAUUUUGUAUGUACCAUAUGAAUAAGGAUCGGCUAACUCCGUGCCAGCAGCCGCGGUAAUACGGAGGAUCCGAGCGUUAUCCGGAUUUAUUGGGUUUAAAGGGAGAGUAUGUUGAUUGUUAAGUCAGUUGUGAAAGUUUGCGGCUCAACCUUAAAAUUGCAGUUGAAACUGGCAGUCUGGAGUACAGUAGAGGUGGGCGGAAUUCGUGGUGUAGCGGUGAAAUGCUUAGAUAUCACGAAGAACUCCGAUUGCGAAGGCAGUUCACUGGACUGCAACUGACACUGAGGCUCGAAAGUGUGGGUAUCAAACAGGAUUAGAUACCCCUGUAGUC
rnacentral:rRNA from 1 species